rnacentral:siRNA from 1 species
CAAGGGAAUUAUGGUUUGUG